GGUUUGAGUAAUUUUACAAAUUCUCUGAUUGCAACUUGUUAAAUGGGAAUAUUUUCUAGUUUCUUCACUCCUCUGUGACAGUAAACUGAAUAUCUGUCAGUUGUGGACAAAACAUGACAUUUGAGGACAUCAUUUGGCUUUUGG